GGGGGUAGGCCGGAUCCUGGGCUGUGUCCCGGCGCCGUGUGCUCCGGGGCCUGCGCUGUUGGAUUCGCGCUCCCGGGCCCCGCAGCCCCCU
rnacentral:pre_miRNA from 1 species